GAUGAAGAACGCAGCGAAAUGCGAUAAGUAAUGUGAAUUGCAGAAUUCAGUGAAUCAUCGAAUCUUUGAACUCACAUUGCGCCCCUUGGUAUUCCGAGGGGCAUGCCUGUUCGAGCGUCAUUAUAACCCCUCAAGCUCAGCUUGGUGUUGGGGCCUGCUGCACUGGCAGCCCUUAAAAUCAGUGGCGGCGCCAUCUGGCUCUAAGCGUAGUAAUUCUUCUCGCUAUGGAGUCCUGGUGGAUGCUUGCCAUCAACCCCCAAUUUUUCUAUGGUUGACCUCGGAUCAGGUAGGGAUACCCGCUGAACUUAAGCAUAUCAAUAAGCGGAGGA
rnacentral:misc_RNA from 1 species